CGGGUGUGAUCUUACCAGCGCUUAUGCAUCGGAUCCCAUCAGAAAUUCAUAAUUAAGCGUGCUUGGGCUAGAGUAGUACUGGGAUGGGUGACCUCUCGGGACGUCCUAGUGUUGCCCCCUC
rnacentral:rRNA from 1 species